rnacentral:tRNA from 1 species
AACUGGCUGGCUCAGUCGGCAGAGCACGAGACUCUUGAUCUCAGGGUUGUGAGUUCAAGUCCCAUGCUGGGUG